rnacentral:rRNA from 1 species
CCCUUAGAUGUUCUGGGCCGCACGCGCGCUACACUGAUGCAUUCAACGAGUCUAAAACCUGCUCUGAUAGGGGUGGGUAAUCUUUUGAAUGUGCAUCGUGAUUGGGAUAGAUGAUUGCAAUUUUUCAUCUUCAACGAGGAAUGCCUAGUAAACGCAAGUCAUCAGCUUGCAUUGAUUACGUCCCUGCCCUUUGUACACACCGCCUGUCGCUCCUACCGAUUGAAUGAUCCGAUGAAUAUCAUGGAUUGAGGAUGCAAGCAGGUUCGCCUGUCUUCAUCUUCGAGAAGUGAAGUAAAUCUUAUCAUUUAGAGGAAGGAGAAGUCGUAACA